rnacentral:rRNA from 1 species
AUUCCAGCUCCAGUAGCGUAUAUUAAAGUUGUUGCAGUUAAAAAGCUCGUAGUUGGAUUUCUGGCAAGGCAGAGCUAACCUGGUACUAUGUAUCGUGUGUUGGACUCGGUCUGCCAUCCUUCCAGAAAAGCAUCAUACCCUUCAUUGGGCCGUGGUGAUAGAUCUGGAACUUUUACUUUGAAAAAAUUAGAGUGUUCAAAGCAGGCGUUACGCUAUGAAUACAUUAGCAUGGAAUAAUAAUUUAGGACUUCAGUUCUAUUUUGUUGGUUUCUAGGACCGAAGUAAUGAUUGAUAGGGAUAGUUGGGGGUGCUAGUAUUCAGCGGCCAGAGGUGAAAUUCUUGGAUUCGCUAAAGACUAACUUAUGCGAAAGCAUUUGCCAAGGAUGUUUUCAUUA